GCCACUAUAGCUCAGUUGGUAGAGCGCAUCCAUGGUAAGGAUGAGGUCACCGGUUCAAACCCGGUUGGUGGCUCCA
rnacentral:tRNA from 1 species